GGGGAUGUAACUCAGUGGUACAGCAUUUACCUAGCAUGCACAAGGCCCUGGGUUCAACCCCCAAUAUCUACC
rnacentral:tRNA from 1 species